GGAUGUGAGGGCGAUCUGGCUAGCUAGGUGGGUGUCUGUGUCUGUCCGACAGGUGUCCCCUUCCUCCCUCACCGCUCCAAGUGCGUCCCUCCCCAAGCUGCACACUUGGUUGAAGAGGACGGUCUUCCCCGAAUAGAGAGUGACUGGUCUGCGGUCAAGAGUGUAUGAGGAGCUGUGCUCCCUUGCUAGAACCUCCCAACAAGCUCUCCAAAAAAGCAGAUAUCUGAGACAGAGAGGUGCUGAGAGGGAGAGAGACAAAGAAAAGGGGAGACAUCACAGUACCACUCUACCAU
rfam:Erinaceus europaeus unplaced genomic scaffold scaffold00333, whole genome shotgun sequence